rnacentral:rRNA from 1 species
UAUGAUUAUUAUUACUUUUAUUUAUAAUUUUAUUUUUUAGGGAAAUAAUUUUUUGUUAUUGUAUUUAUUUAAGAUAAAAUUUUUUUUGUAAUAGUUUAUUAGUACUUUAAAGGAUUAUUGAAUUAUAAUUAAUAUUUUUUGAAGUUUAUUUUAUUUAUUGUACCUUGUGUAUCAGGGUUUAUUAAGUAUUUAAUAUUUAUUUAUUAUUCCCGAUCUUAGGAGAGUUAAAUUAUUUAUGUUAGUUAAUGUUUAAUUAUUAUUGAAAAUAAUUUUUAGGGGUGAAAUGCUAUUCGUUCUUAAGGGUAUCUGGUUUUUUAAGAAAUAAUUUUAAAUUAGUAAUUAUUUUUAUAUUAAUUAAUUUUUAUAUUAAUAUUUAAUAAUUUUCAAUAUUUUAAGGGAUAAGCUUUAAAGUAUAAAUUAAUAAAUUUAAUUAUUUAAUAAGUCAAUUUAAUUUAAAAGUGGUUAUUUGAUAUAAGUGUGUUGAAAUUUUCCUUAUUUAAAUAUUUUAUUUAUAAAAAUUUUUAAUUUUUUAUUAAAGAAGUUUAAUUAAUAAUUUAUUAAUUAUUAUAAUGAUAAAAUUAGUAUAAAUUUUAGUUAAUUAAUUUAUUAUUGAUAUUAAAUUAUUAGGAAUUAGGCAAAUUUUAUUUUCGCCUGUUUAACAAAAACAUCUCUCUUUGUUUGUAUUUGAAGUAUAACCUGCCCACUGACAUGUUUGAAGGGCCGCGGUAACCUGACCGUGCAAAGGUAGCAUAAUCAUUAGUUUCUUAAUUGGAGGCUGGAAUGAAUGGUUGGACGAAAUAUGAGCUGUCUUAUUAUUUUUAUUAGAAUUUAAUUAUUAAGUAAAAAAGCUUAAAUAUUAUUAUGGGACGAGAAGACCCUAUAGAGUUUUAUAUCAUAAUUUAUAGAUUAGGUUUAUUUUUGUAAUAUUUAUUAUGAUUUUUUGUUGGGGUGAUGGAAAGGUAAUAAAAACUCUUUUUUGUUGAUUAAUAUUGAUUUAUAGAAUUUUGAUCCAUUAGAUAAUGAUUAUAAGACUAAAUUACCUUAGGGAUAACAGCGUAAUCUUUUUUGAGAGUCCUUAUCAAUAAAGGGGGUUGCGACCUCGAUGUUGGAUUAAGAUAAACAUUAGGUGUAGAAGUUUAAUAUGUUGGGUCUGUUCGACCUUUAAAAUCUUACAUGAUCUGAGUUCAAACCGGCGUGAGCCAGGUUGGUUUCUAUCUAUAAUAUAAUAUGAUAUUUUAGUACGAAAGGACCAGAUAUUGUAAAUAAUUUAAUUCUUGUAAUGAUUACUAAAAAUA